rnacentral:lncRNA from 1 species
UAAAGGGGCUGGAGAUAGAGACAAAUUUUUCCCAAUGCCACCUUUGAGUUCAUUUAGGCCAUCCCUGCCUAAAGGGGUGAAUAUCCAUGUUGAAAGAGGUAGUUUGGAGCUAGCAUACCCACAGGAAGGCACUGAGUAGAAUUUGAUAGGUAAUGGAAACAUGUGAUUGCAUUGGAGCUAAGCCCAGUGAUUUGACUAGUGUAAGCAGGGUAGGAAGCAGUCUUUCUUUCUACUCUCUCAUUAGUUGAUCACAUGCCAUUUGUGAUUAUGUAAUAAUAGUGCCAUUGUGCCCUUAUGAUCAUUCAACAAUCCCAACUGUGGAGUCCACUGGUGUAGACCUAACAUAGAUAGAUGUAGAGAGAGGCUAGUGUCAGGGAACCUAAUAUAAUCUAAAUAUCAGGUAAUAAAAUGAUUUAUUUCUAAAAUUAAAUAAGUAACACAAAUUACUUUGAGAUCUUUGUUAUUUCUUGAUAGGGAAAAUAAUUAUUUUAAAGACAUGGGAUCAUGUUUUUAACAAUUCAUGCUUCUUUUUGAUAUUUACCUGAUAUGAAAAUAAUAAAAAAAUAUUGUUAGUCUUACAUUCCUAAGAACCAUUAUAGUCUUGCUCAUUUUUCAUAGCUAAAAAGCAAAAGCUAUAAAAAUUUUUUAAAUGCACACCAAUUAUGUAAUUUUUGAGUUAUCACUUAAAAAUUGCUUACUUAUUCCAAGCAGCUAUUUGGAAAGGAGAAAGGAGACCCAAAUACAUCUUUAAAGAAAAUGCACAAUAGAAAGGUUCUGCAGUCCUUGUUCCAAAAGAAAUUGAAAAGGGAAGAAAAGAAGAGGAGUUGGAGAAAGAAUGGUUACAAAUCCUCCUGUAUGAUGGCGUAGCACAGUUUGGUGAUGCAUGCUGGAGUCAACUAAAUUCAACCAGAAUUGAGUAAGUAUCUACUACAUUCAAGCCUCUGUC